UACGUAGGGUGCGAGCGUUGUCCGGAAUUAUUGGGCGUAAAGAGCUCGUAGGCGGUCUGUCGCGUCUGCUGUGAAAGCCCGGGGCUUAACCCCGGGUCUGCAUUCGAUACGGGCAGGCUAGAGUGUGGUAGGGGAGAUCGGAAUUCCUGGUGUAGCGGUGAAAUGCGCAGAUAUCAGGAGGAACACCGGUGGCGAAGGCGGAUCUCUGGGCCGAUACUGACGCUGAGGAGCGAAAGCGUGGGGAGCGAACAGG
rnacentral:rRNA from 1 species